rnacentral:misc_RNA from 1 species
UACGUAGGGGGCAAGCGUUAUCCGGAUUUACUGGGUGUAAAGGGAGCGUAGGUGGCUCGAUAAGUCAGAAGUGAAAGCCCAGAGCUCAACUCUGGGACUGCUUUUGAAACUAUCGGGCUAGAGUGCAGGAGAGGUAAGUGGAAUUCCUAGUGUAGCGGUGAAAUGCGUAGAUAUUAGGAGGAACACCAGUGGCGAAGGCGGCUUACUGGACUGUAACUGACACUGAGGCUCGAAAGCGUGGGGAGCAAACAGG